AGAACCAAGAACUAAGCGUGGUGCUGCUGACUUACACGCCUGAACCUUCACAGUUCUUUACAUUCUUCCAGGAGUAGCAGAAAAUGAACAUA